CAAGAAGCCGAAAGGCUACUUAAAACCAUCGCGAACUUAUCCAAGUUGCUUCGGCGGCGCGGCUCCCCUCACGGGGGACCGCAGCCCCCGCCUCUCAGGAGGUAAGGGGCAGCCUGCCGGAGGUACGAAACUCUGUACUAUAGUGGUAUCUCUGAGUAUAAAACAAAUAAGUUA
rnacentral:misc_RNA from 1 species